rnacentral:rRNA from 1 species
AUGGGGAAGCGCCAGGGCCAAAAGUUAAGGCGGCUAUCAAACCUUUUCGGUUGUCGUGACCCUGAGUAUGUAUCACCAGAACGGUCUAGGUCGGCGACACCAUCAGAUCCCGCUUCGGGGCAGAGCCAUGGUGAACCUUUCCAGGAUGAGGAUGUGGGUGUGGUCACCCAAGAGGUUGCUGAUGAUAUGACCUUGGGGACGUACCGGGCUCGGUCUGCAUACGAGUUGAAGCCUAGGAGGGGAAUCAACAAGUACACACCUGAAGACUUCACCCAAAGAGGCAAAAGGACGGUCGGCACCUCGCGGAUGGCGGCUUUGGAUGACUAUUUGGAUGACGAUGUCGAACCGGAGGCGGAGCCGGAGCCGGAGCGGGUUCCUCUUCCUAGGAAGGUGAAGAAGAUAAGCGUCAAGAGGGGGGAGGACCUAGCAAGCGUGGAAAGCACUAGUCAUCUUAGUUUUUUUAUAAUGUUGAACUUCGAGUGCGAUUUGUUAUGUCGUUGA